rnacentral:rRNA from 1 species
GCACAAACUAACCUCCGAGCAGUAUAUGCCAAGACCACACCAGUCAAAACGAAAUUCCAUGUGCAAUUGACCCAAUAAUUUGAUCAACGGAACA